rnacentral:misc_RNA from 1 species
UUUCCGUAGGUGAACCUGCGGAAGGAUCAUUAAUGAGUUGUCAUGGGGUUCGAUGCUGGCAGCCAAUUGUUGGAUGCAUGUGCUUGCCCUAACAAUCAUCUUCCAAACACCUGUGCACAUUUUUGAGGGAGUCUUGAGUUGGUUGCCGCUCUUGGGUGAUUUUCUCACAUUCCCUUAAAUCAUUAUACGCUAUUAACAAUGUUGAACGUGCUCUGUGCCGCAAGGCUAUUAAUAUAAUACAACUUUUAACAACGGAUCUCUUGGCUCUC